rnacentral:rRNA from 1 species
UACGUAGGGGGCAAGCGUUGUCCGGAUUUAUUGGGCGUAAAGAGCGUGUAGGCGGCCAGACAGGUCCGUUGUGAAAACUAGAGGCUUAACCUCUAGACGUCGAUGGAAACCAUCAGACUAGAGUCCGGAAGAGGAGAGUGGAAUUCCUGGUGUAGCGGUGAAAUGCGCAGAUAUCAGGAAGAACACCCGUGGCUAAGGCGGCUCUCUAGUACGGUACUGACGCUGAGACGCGAAAGCGUGGGGAGCGAACAGG